rnacentral:tRNA from 1 species
CAACGUAUGGCUUAGGCAGAGCGCCUGGUCGAUUUCCAGGAGGCGCAGGUUCGAGUCCUGCUAAGCUAC